rnacentral:misc_RNA from 1 species
GUAGGUGAACCUGCGGAAGGAUCAUUACUGAGGAUCUGGUCGAAAGGCCGUUCUCCCACCCUUUGUUUUAAAUACCAGUUGCUUCGGCGAGUCGUCUGUUUUUCAAACUGCCAUCGGCUUCUGCGGGUGUGUACUCGCCGAAGGUUACCAAACUCUUCUUUUGAAGUUGUCUGAGUCAAAACAUUAAAACUAUAAAAACUUUCAACAACGGAUCUCUUGGUUCUG